GAGUGUAUCACCUCAUACUGGGACCAGUCUGGUUCACCAGGAGACUCCUCCUGUCCCCAGUGUGGAGAAAGCUCCAGGAGAGGACAUGGACUGGAGACGGCCGGUCAGACCAGUGCUGAACAAAUGAGAGGUGGUCUUCAGGAGGUUUUAGAUGAACAUAAGAUCAGUCUGAGGAGGAGAUGUGAACGUGUGACUGAAGGAACUGGUGAAGCAGGAAGUAGAACUCUCCUCAACAGGAUCUACACUGAGCUCUACAUCACAGAGGGACAGAGUGAAGAGGUCAACAGCCAACAUGAGGUCAGACAGCUUGAGACAGCUUCCAAGAGAGAGAUCAUCCAUGAAACACCAAUCAAGUACCAUGAGAUCUUUAAAGCCCUCCCAGACCAACAGAAACCCAUCAGAGUGGUUCUGACUAACGGUGUCGCUGGUGUUGGGAAAACCUUCACGGUGCAGAAGUUCACUCUGGACUGGGCAGAGGGCUUGGAAAACCAGGACAUCAGUCUGCUGGUUCUGCUUUCAUUCAGAGAGCUGAACUUGAUCAGAGAUGAGCGCUACAGUCUUCUGGAGCUGCUCCGUGUUUUCCAUCCAACACUCCAGAAGGUCAGAGCAGAGACGCUGGCUGUCUGUAAACUUUUGUUCAUCUUUGACGGCCUGGAUGAAAGCAGACUGUCGUUGGAUUUCAGCAUCAGUGAGGUUGUUCAUGAUGUCACACAGAAGUCAUCAGUUAAUGUGCUGUUAAUAAACCUCAUCAAGGGGAAUCUGCUUCCCUCAGCUCUCAUCUGGAUAACUUCUCGACCUGCAGCAGCCAAUCAGAUCCCUCCUUCAUGUGUGGACAGGCUGACAGAAGUCCGAGGCUUCACUGACACCCAGAAGGAGGAGUACUUCAGGAGGAGGUACAGUGAUGAAGAUCUGUCCAGCACAAUCAUCUCCCACAUCAAGACAUCCAGGAGCCUCCACAUCAUGUGUCUGAUCCCAGUCUUCUGCUGGAUCACUGCUACAGUUCUGGAGAACAUGAUGAGCACGGAGCAGAGAGGAGAGCUGCCCAAGACCCUGACUGACAUGUACUCACACUUCCUGUUGGUUCAGACCAAGAGGAAGAGGCAGAAGUAUGAUGGGGGACAUGAGAGCAGUCCACAGGAGCUGAUGGAGGCUGAGAGAGAAGUUCUUCUGAAGCUGGGGAGGCUGGCGUUUGAACAUCUGGAGAACGGAAACCUCAUGUUCUAUGAAGAAGACCUGGAGCGCUGUGGUCUGGAUGUCACAGAGGCCUCAGUGUUCUCAGGAGUUUGCACAGAGAUCUUCAAAAGAGAGAGUGUGAUCUUCCAGAAAACGGUUUACUGCUUUGUUCAUCUGAGCAUUCAGGAGUUUCUGGCUGCAGUUUACAUGCUCCACUGUUUCACCAACAGGAACACAACAGUACUGGAGGAUUUUCUAGGAGAAAAAUAUGACAACCCAACGCUUGAUGUCUUCCUUAAAGAAGCAAUGUUGAAAUCUUUGAAAAGUGAAAAUGGCCACCUGGACCUGUUUGUUCGUUUCCUUCAUGGACUGUGUCUGGAGUCAAACCAGAGACUCCUAGGAGGUCUGCUGGGUCAGAUAGACAACAGUCCAGAAAUGAUCCAACGAAUCAUCAACAACCUGAGGAAGAUCAACAGUAUUUACAUCUCUCCUGACAGAAGCAUCAACAUCUUCCACUGUCUGAUUGAGAUGAAUGAUCUCUCAGUAUAUCAGGAGAUCCAAGAGUUCUUGAAGUCAGAGAACAGAUCAGGGCUAGAACUCUCUGAGAUCCAGUGCUCUGCUCUGGCCUACAUGCUGCAGAUGUCAGAGGAGGUUCUGGAUGAGUUGGACCUGGACAAGUACAACACAACAAACGAGGGAAAACGGCGACUGAUUCCAGCUGUGAGGAACUGCAGGAAGGCUAGAAUUACUGUCGACUAUCUCUCAGAGGCUCACUGUGAAGUCAUAGCCUCAGCUCUGAAGAUCAACCCCUCCCAUCUGAGAGAGCUGGAGCUGGGGUCUGACAAUUAUGAUCCAGGUGUGGAGCUCCUGUGUUCUGGCCUGGAGAGUCUGAACUGUCGUCUAGAGAUUCUGAGAUUGAAAAGAUGCAGUUUGUCAGAGAUCAGCUGUUCUUCUCUGGUCUCAGCUCUGAAGUCUAACCCCUCACAUCUGAGAGAGCUGGACCUGAGCGAUGACUACCAGCUCCAGGAUUUAGGAGUGAAGUUUCUGUGUGAUUACCUGCAGAGUUCAAACUGCAAACUGGAGACUCUAAGAUUGGAGUGGUGCAGUCUGUCAGAGAUCAGCUGUUCUUCUCUAGCCUCAGCUCUGAACUCUAACCCAUCACAUCUGAGAGAGCUGGACCUGAGCCGCAACGAGCUCCAGGAUUCAGGAGUGAAGUGUCUGUGUGAUUACCUGCAGAGUCCAAACUGCAAACUGGAGACUCUGAGAUUGAGUGAAUGCAGAUUGUCAGAGAUCAGCUGUUCUUCUCUAGCCUCAGCUCUGAAGUCUAACCCCUCAAAUCUGAGAGAGCUGGACCUGAGCAACAACCAGCUCCAGUAUUCAGAAGUGAAGGUCCUGAGUGACUUUGUAGAGAGUCCACACUACAGACUUGAGUCUCUGAGCUUUGGGGAGGGUUACCCCAAUAAAUGGAUCAGAGCUGACGAUGAGAAAAAAUCUCUGAAGGCCCAACACUUCUCACUAUCAGGAGACUUCAGUGUCAAAAAGGAUGAGAAGGAAAACCUUCAUCUGCUUGAUGAUAAAACGGCUCCAUCAUCCUUCUCACCUGAAAAGACUGACUCUACAUACAGGUUCAGGUGUCCUGGUCAGGGUGUGUUCCAGUGUGCUUCCACUAGGCUGGUGUUUGCCAUGACAAAGGAGGCGGAGCUUCAGUACAAGACUGUCCAAUGGGAUGAAGCUCUCCUCCAAUCAGCUGGCAAGGUGGCCGCAGGGCCGCUGUUUGACAUCCAGUGUCCUGAAGAAGCUGUGUGUCAGCUCCAUAUCCCACACUGUGAAUCAAAGGAAGGACUGCUUGUUGAUGGAGGCUUGUCUGUUGUCCACAUCACUGAUGAUGGGAUGAGCUUCUUGGAGCCGUUGGAGAUCACAGACACUCAUGUGGUUGUGAACGUCCCUCACCUAUCCGCCUUUGGCCUGGUCUGGGAUUUUUUAAAAAGGUUUCUGGGAAAUUCCCAGCCAAUAAACGGAGCAGUCCUGCUAUUUGUCCGACCUCUGACUGUAAGCGAUAAAGUGCUCUACGUGUUUCUGGUGCCAGAAAACAUCGAUUUCGACAAGCUCGCUGAAAAGCAGAGAGGGGCAGAUAAUAUCCCGACCUCUUCUAUAUGUUCUCUGAGCUCUGGCCAGAAUUACAGCGUCCACUGUGAAGCUGAGGGCUUCACAGUACAGCCAGAGUUUUCUUCACGACAAACCAAGAUAGAGUGACUCUGAAAAUCCAGGACCAAGACAGGAGAGAAGUCUGGAGACGUGGUGUGUUUCUUAGAGGUUCAAGACUGGAAACUCUGCCAAAUGUUGUUCUAGCAGAGGACAGAAUCCCCAUAGUGGACAGUGUUCCAGCAGAGGACAGGAUCCCUAUAGGGGACAGGGUUCCAGCAGAGGACAGAGUCCCUAUAGGGGACAGGGU